AUUGAACGCUGGCGGCAGGCCUAACACAUGCAAGUCGAACGAGUGGCGGACGUGAGAGUUAUGUAUGCGGCACUGCCUGCGGGGGUGGGAUAACGAAUGGAAACGUUAGCUAAUACCGCAUACCAUCGGAUGUGCCCAGAGGGGAUUAGCUAGUUGGUGGGGUAAAGGCUGACAAAGGCGACGAUCCCUAGAUGGUCUGAGAGGAUGACCAGCCACACUGGAACUGAGACACGGUCCAGACUCCGACGGGAGGCAGCAGUGGGGAAUAUUGGACAAUGGGCGCAAGGCUGAUGGAGCAAUGCCGCGUGUGUGAAGAAGGCUUUCGGGUUGUAAAGCACUUUCGGCGGGGAGGCGUUACCCAAAGAGAAAGCACCGGCUAACUACGUGCCAGCAGCCGCGGUAAUUC
rnacentral:rRNA from 1 species